GACGAACGCUGGCGGCGUGCUUAACACAUGCAAGUCGAACGAUGAACCGGAGCUUGCUCUGGGGAUUAGUGGCGAACGGGUGAGUAACACGUGGGCAACCUGCCCCAGACACCGGGAUAACCAUUGGAAACGAUGGCUAAUACCGGAUACGACCACUUCGGGCAUCCGAUGGUGGUGGAAAGGAUUCUGGUCAGGGAUGGGCCCGCGGCCUAUCAGCUUGUUGGUGGGGUAAUGGCCUACCAAGGCGACGACGGGUAGCCGGCCUGAGAGGGCGACCGGCCACACUGGGACUGAGACACGGCCCAGACUCCUACGGGAGGCAGCAGUGGGGAAUAUUGCGCAAUGGGCGAAAGCCUGACGCAGCGACGCCGCGUGAGGGACGAAGGUCUUCGGAUUGUAAACCUCUUUCAGCAGGGAUGAAGCGAAAGUGACAGUACCUGCAGAAGAAGCACCGGCUAACUACGUGCCAGCAGCCGCGGUAAAAC
rnacentral:rRNA from 1 species